GACGAACGCUGGCGGCGUGCUUAACACAUGCAAGUCGAACGGAAAGGCCCUGCUUUUGUGGGGUGCUCGAGUGGCGAACGGGUGAGUAACACGUGAGUAACCUGCCCUUGACUUUGGGAUAACUUCAGGAAACUGGGGCUAAUACCGGAUAGGAGCUCCUGCUGCAUGGUGGGGGUUGGAAAGUUUCGGCGGUUGGGGAUGGACUCGCGGCUUAUCAGCUUGUUGGUGGGGUAGUGGCUUACCAAGGCUUUGACGGGUAGCCGGCCUGAGAGGGUGACCGGCCACAAUGGGACUGAGAUACGGACCAGACUCCUACGGGAGGCAGCAGUGGGGAAUAUUGCACAAUGGGCGGAAGCCUGAUGGAGCAACGCCGCGUGCGGGAUGACGGCCUUCUGGUUGUAAACCGCUUUCGCAUGUGACGAAGCGUGAGUGACGGUAAUGGGUAAAGAAGCACCGGCUAACUACGUG
rnacentral:rRNA from 1 species